rnacentral:rRNA from 1 species
UACGUAGGUGACCAGCGUUGUCCGGAUUUACUGGGCGUAAAGAGCGCGCAGGCGGUCGUUCAAGUCGAGUGUGAAAGCCCCCGGCUCAACUGGGGAGGGUCACUCGAUACUGAUCGACUUGAAGGCAGGAGAGGGAAGCGGAAUUCCCGGUGUAGUGGUGAAAUGCGUAGAUAUCGGGAGGAACACCAGUGGCGAAGGCGGCUCUCUGGAACGCAACUGACGCUGAGACGCGAAAGCGUGGGGAGCAAACAGG